GGUUCCAUAGUGUAGUGGUUAUCACGUCUGCUUUACAUGCAGAAGAUCCUGGGUUCGAGUCCCAAUGGGACCA